rnacentral:rRNA from 1 species
GACGAACGCUGGCGGCGUGCUUAACACAUGCAAGUCGAACGGAAAGGCCCUGCUUUUGUGGGUUUCUCGAGUGGCGAACGGGUGAGUAACACGUGAGUAACCUGCCCUUGACUUUGGGAUAACUUCAGGAAACUGGGGCUAAUACCGGAUAGGAUCUCCUGCUGCAUGGUGGGGGUUGGAAAGUUUCGGCGGUUGGGGAUGGACUCGCGGCUUAUCAGCUUGUUGGUGGGGUAGUGGCUUACCAAGGCUUUGACGGGUAGCCGGCCUGAGAGGGUGACCGGCCACAUUGGGACUGAGAUACGGACCAGAAUCCUACGGGAGGCAGCAGUGGGGAAUAUUGCACAAUGGGCGGAAGCCUGAUGCGGCAACGCCGCGUGCGGGAUGACGGCCUUCGGGUUGUAAACCGCUUUCGCCUGUGACGAAGCGUGAGUGACGGUAAUGGGUAAAGAAGCACCGGCUAACUACGUG